rnacentral:tRNA from 1 species
GAUUUCUUAGUAUAAGGUUUUAGUAUGUUUGUUUUCCAAAUAGAAGGUUUGAGGAGUUG